rnacentral:rRNA from 1 species
AGUGGCGGACGGGUGAGUAAUGUCUGGGAAACUGACCGAUGGAGGGGGAUAACUACUGGAAACGGUAGCUAAUACCGCAUACCAUCGGAUGUGCCCAGAUGGGAUUAGCUAGUAGGUGGGGUAACUGCUCACCUAGGCGACGAUCCCUAGCUGGUCUGCGAGGAUGACCAGCAACACGGGAACGGAUACACGGUCCAGACUCAUACGUGAGUCAGCAGUGGGGAAUCAUGCACAAUGGGCUCAAGCCUGAUGCAGCCAUGCCGCGUGUAUGAAGAAGGCCUUCGGGUUGUAAAGUACUUGCAGCGAGGAGGCGUUACUCGCAGAAGAAGCACCGGCUAACUCCGUGCCAGCAGCCGCGGUAAUAC